GACGUAGGGCGCGAGCGUUGUCCGGAUUUAUUGGGCGUAAAGGGCGCGUAGGCGGCUCGGCACGUCCGUUGUGAAAUCGCCCGGCUCAACUGGGCGGGGUCAGCGGAUACGGCCGAGCUUGAGCAAGCUAGGGGGCAAUGGAAUUCCCGGUGUAGUGGUGGAAUGCGUAGAUAUCGGGAGGAACACCAGUGGCGAAGGCGGGUCUCUGGGCAGUAACUGACGCUGAGGAGCGAAAGCGUGGGGAGCGAACAGG
rnacentral:rRNA from 1 species